GUCGUAACGAGGUUUCCGUAGGUGAACCUGCGGAAGGAUCAUUAUCGAAUAAAACUUGAACAGGCUGUUGCUGGCUCCCUCGGAUGCAUGUGCACGCUUGUCAUUUUUAUCUCAUUUCUCCUCUGUGCACCAACUGUAGGCCUGGAGUUUGGAUUGAAAUCCUUUCAGGUCUAUGUUUUUACAAUCUCUCAAUGUGUUUGGAAUGUCGAGUUGCAUAAUAUAUACAUACAACUUUCAGCAACGGAUCUCUUGGCUCUCGCAUCGAUGAAGAACGCAGCGAAAUGCGAUAAGUAAUGUGAAUUGCAGAAUUCAGUGAAUCAUCGAAUCUUUGAACGCAUCUUGCGCUCCUUGGUAUUCUGAGGAGCAUGCCUGUUUGAGUGUCAUCAAGUCCUCAACCAUAUUGAUUUUGCUUCGAUGUGGAUUGGAUAUGGGAGCCCAUGCAGGCCUUUCAAUUGAGAGGUCUGCUCUCCUGAAAUGAAUUAGUGGUGUCUGAGCAGUGACUUUUACUAUAUGGGUGUGAUAAUCAUUUAUGCCUUUGUGAAAUGCUGCGCAAACUGCUUCUAACCUCGUCGUUGACCAAUUUGACCUCAAAUCAGGUAGGACUACCCGCUGAACUUAAGCAUAUCAAUAAGCGGAGGAAAAGAAACUAACAAGGAUUCCCCUAGUAACUGCGAGUGAAGCGGGAAAAGCUCAAAUUUGAAAUCUGAUGGUUUUUGACCGUCCGAGUUGUAAUCUAGAGAAGUGUUUACCCGUGCUGGACUGUGUACAANUCUCCUGGAAUGGGGCAUCAUAGAGGGUGAGAAUCCCGUCUUUGACACGGACUGCCAGUGCACUAUGGGUGUGCUCUCGAAGAGUCGAGUUGUUUGGGAAUGCAGCUCAAAAUGGGUGGUAAAUGCCAUCUAAAGCUAAAUAUUGGCGAGAGACCGAUAGCGAACAAGUACCGUGAGGGAAAGAUGAAAAGAACUUUGGAAAGAGAGUUAAACAGUACGUGAAAUUGCUGAAAGGGAAACGCUUGAAGUCAGUCGCGUUGGCCAGAAAUCAGCCUUGCUUUUGCUUGGUGUAUUUUCUUGUCUUUACGGGUCAGCAUCAAUCUUGACCAUUGGAUAAGGUCUGUGGGAAUGUGGCAUCUUUGGAUGUGUUAUAGCCCAUGGUCGCAUACGGUGGUUGGGAUUGAGGAACUCAGCACGCCCGCGAGGGACGGGUUUCGACCACGUUUUCGUGCUUAGGAUGCUGGCAUAAUGGCUUUAAUCGACC
rnacentral:rRNA from 1 species